rnacentral:rRNA from 1 species
GAUGAACGCUGGCGGCGUGCCUAAUACAUGCAAGUCGAGCGAACAGACGCGGAGCUUGCUCCUCUGACGUUAGCGGCGGACGGGUGAGUCACACGUGGAUAACCUACCUAUCAGACUGGGAUAACUUCGGGAAACCGGAGCUAAUACCGGAUAAUAUCUUGAACCGCAUGGUUCAAUAGUGAAAGACGGUUUUGCUGUCACUAAUAGAUGGAUCUGCGCCGCAUUAGCUAGUUGGUAAGGUAACGGGUUACCAAGGCUACGAGGCGUAGCCGACGUGUGAGGGUGGUCGCCGACACUGGAGCGUGGACACGGACCAGACGCCUACGGGACGCAGCAGUAGGGAAUCGGCCGCAAUGGGCGAAAGCUUGACGGAGCAACGCCGCGUGAGUUAUGAAGGUCUUCGGAGCGGAAUGCUCUGUUAUUAGUGAAGAACAAAUGUGUAAGUAACUAUGCACGUCUUGACGGUACCGAAUCAGAAAGCCACGGCUAACUACGUG